UCAUCCAGCAUGAUCAACUUUGGUGGAGAAUUGAAAAUAUAUUGAACUUUAACAGUAGGAUUGUCCUUCUCCUCUUCAAUGAAACCAACAAUUUCCGGAUAGAACACUAAUUUCCUCAUGCAAACCUCCAGUACUGCACCAGAAUAAGUAAUCUUGCUCAUGGAGUCGUCGGAAUCCUCAGUACAGCACUUCAAACAGUCAGACACCAACUCUUGAUUCUUGACAUACUCAGCGAAAGUGUUACAAUCAGAGCAAAGAGCAAGGCCUGUAAAACCCAGAUCCUCACAUUCCCUUGAGCUCAGUUGCUCUUUUGAUGAAACAAUCUGUAAUAUAACAGCAACCCACAACACCACCACACAACAUCUAUACGAACCCAUCUCUCUCUCUUUUAAGAUCGCAGAAGCUAGCGGGCAUGGACUCCAGCACUUUAUCUCUGGUUCGUAGAAU
rnacentral:misc_RNA from 1 species